ACAGAUUUCCAGAAGCCAUCUGAUGCACUCUGUGGACACAGCAUAAGAGGACAUGAGCUGGGCACACACCUGAUGAUGGACCUGGUUGAUGGAAGGGACUCAAAGUGUGUACAGGAAGUCUGGGGCUUGGAACCAAAGAUGAAUGACACCUCCCCUCUGCCUUCUAAGAGCUCUAAGGAGAAUCAUCUUGCAACUACAGAAAGAAAAUCAAACAUGGCAAAGAGGAAAGAAAUUCCCAGGAGAGGCAAGAAUAGAGCAAAAGGAUGUAAGAAGAUGAAUCCAAAAGACUCACCUCCCAGGGCAAUGAAAGCAGAAGAUAGCUCCAUUAAGAGGAAAGAGCUGUGACUGGGCUGGAAUUCUGACUCUCUAGAGGUCACUGUCUCACUUUGGGCCACAGUUUCCAUGUUUAUUCAUUUAGGUGACACAGAUGGACCUGAACACAUUUACAGAUGUGAGAGGAGGCUUAGUGAAGAGGUGAGGAGACAAACAAAAGAAGACAGCUCCUGAGAAGCUACAUGUGAGAUUUCUUCUUGGGACAGGGAUGGAGGUCUAGCAGAACUAAAGAUGGUGAGUUCUGAGAAGUCUGACCAACAGGGACAGGACACAGGAACAGGAAGCAGCCCUAAGAGCUAAUAAGGGGCUGAGAUACCACUAGAAGAUCAAGCUUGCAUCAAGAUUGCCCAGGGGCUAACCCCCAGCCCUCAUCUUCUUCUCCAUCUCCUGCAAGGCUGGGAAGAAAGACAGUCACAGUGAUCCAAGCCCAGGCAGAGGGAAGGCAGCUCAGUAGAGUCCAGCUUUCCAGUUUCAGUAUGAGGAUGUCAGGGGACGAAGAGGAAGCAAAGUGGGUAGAAAAGGCAGCUCCUGGGACUCCUACAGCCCUAGGUUACAGGUGUCCUGAAUCACAGGAGGAAAGGCUGGUAGAAGUGAAAAACUGUGGCCUGAGUGACUGGAUAGGAAGCUCUGCCUCUCAUAUGUACUGUCCUGUCUUCUUCAGACCCCAAGGCCCCUUCCUCCAGACAGUGGAUGGACAUCUCCAGCCUCACCCAGCACCAGGAGGAAGAUGCACAGGCCAUAGCAUCUGAGAAUUCUGGCAGCACACACUGAUACAUCACUGGCAUUGUGACCUGCUCUGUCUAUACAGUAUUACUUAUAAUAUCCUGAAUGGAACAUGGUCACUCUGGGCUUCCACAUAUGCUGUUGUUCCAUUACUUGUAACAUCUUUUACCUGACUUGCUUCUAACUUUUCCUUCAGAGUCCAGCUCAACAGUGCUUCUCCAGGAAGCCUUCUCCUGUCCCCUACCUGCCUGCUCCCAGGGCUACAAAGAUUUCUCCCUAUUGUGGUGCUUACCAAACUGUAUAGUAACUCCAGUUUUGGGACUGUCUUUCUCAUUAGAGUGUGAGCAACUCUGGGCUAGGGACAGUGAUGAAUUUUUUUCUAAAUUCCCAAGGGCCAGUGCAGUGCCAGAAGCUCGCUAAUGCCUGGCAGACAAGGGAGUGCAUGCGGAUAGCUGUAGACCUGUCUCAGAAGUUUCACAGGAACUUAGGCUGCCCUCUCCCACCAGGACUUACAUACAGCUGCACCCUCAUGUCCCGUGCUCCACCUUCUCUCCUGGCCUCACUUCCCUUCUUGCUGACCAUUGAUGUUCUCCUGAGCGCACAUGGACUUCCCUUAACUGAGAACUAUAUCUGCUUGCUGGCUUGGUCAAAGCUCCUGGGACCAGGGAGAUAAAGGGCCUUUUUGUAACCUGUUUGGAGUUACCUGUGCUACUGUCCAAUGAAAUGGGGAACCAAAUGGCCACAAAUGGUGAGGAGCAGAGCUUCUACCUGGAUAAGUAUGGCCAGCCCUGGCAGAGGUUGUUUGGCUUUCCUUUCCCAUAUCUCAUUUCCCAUAAUCAUCAGGAUUCCUGGGUACCUGAAAGGUACAUGCUGCAAGGGAAUGCUCAUAUACCAAAUGGCAUGAAGCAGCUGUGACUGAGGCCCAGUACCUGUUCCAGCCCUGCCCACUCAGGCCUUGACUCCAGAACAGAGCUGCUGUCUGCCAGAAUUCUGCAGAUGAACCAUAAGAGCCUUGACUUAAUUGACUGUGGUGCUCUUGGAAGGAACAAGUGGAAACAUCUAUCUGCCUUACCCACCUCUGGCCUGCUCUCCUUGUUUGACUUUUUCCAGCCUGCCUAGUAGGAAGCAGGAACUGGUAUUUGAGCUAAUUCCAGAUCAUUUACAGUGACUGGGCAGCAAGGGGCAAAUGGGAUUAGGGCUCUAGCCUCUGGGAUCCCCUACUCUAAGGGAGGCAUGGAGCUUUAACAGGUGGUCACAAGCAGAGAAAGACUGAGCCAGGAGAGGGGCAGAGAGGCAGAUGGGCAGAGGGCUGGGGUGAGAAAGCAGCACCCAGGUCCCCUGAGAUUCACCAUAGUAGAGCCAAUUUCUUUCCAUUUCUCUCUUCAAAGUAUUUACCUGUGAACAAAAUCCUACUGCCCUCAAGGCAAACAGAAGGCUCUGGGGACAAGGUAUCUCAGGCUCUAAGGUUCUGAAACAGAGGGAUGCUCAUACAACCCCCAUUCUCUCCUUGGUUUGUGUGGGAAAUAGGCCUGCUUGAAGCCAAAUAAGCACCCUGCUGCUUGGCUCUUUCCUUCCCUUUGUGGAGCUGUGCUGACCCCAAUAGAACCCAGCUGCCUCAUUCAGCCUAGUUCUGAGAUGGGCUCUUCUUUCUUACUGUUCCACCUACCUGAAUUUCUGGACCUGAUUUUUGUCUUCUCUCUUCCUUGCUACCUACUUGACACUGCCUGCGCUUGGGCUGUGGAGUCAAAUCAAAUAGCAGCGAGACCUGCCACAGGCAGGUUAAGCUGUUCCCACCCUCAACUUUCCUGUAAGUUUCCAGAAAGAACAACUAGCUUCUUACCACAGGCAGAGGGCCAUCUGUCAUCAA